rnacentral:lncRNA from 1 species
GUGUGUGAUUCAAAAGAAGUGGGAAAGCAGCAGCACAAGGCUACAGUCAAUGUCAUUGCUGUUUUUAAUCCAGAAGAAGGGAGCCUUCCUUCCAGCCAGCAAAGAGGAGGAGGAAAAUGUGGUCACUAUUCCCAUCAGAAAGCAGAGGGAGACUGCACACAGAACUUGCUGAUGCAGAUUUUGCAGUGUUGCAUGUAUGGCAAAUUCCUGUCUUUACUAAUGUUUGGAUAUGCUUUCAAUGGACAGUGACAAGGAGGGACAUAACAUCAAAGUGAUGAAAGUCCUAAACCUAGCACAAACUGCAUGUUUGUGUGAAUUCGGGAAAAUCGUAUUUUGGUCAACAAGUGCAACCUGUACAUGUUCCAGAUCCUCACACCUGGCUGCAUGGCCUCACAGUGCAUGUGUGCUGAACCAGGAGGCUCAGGUGUGGGUGCAGCUCACCUGAACAGUCUUGCCAGAGAAAUGGCACAGUAACAGGGUACUGAGCAGAGAUCCAUGGAUAAUUCAGUAGGUGACUGAUUAGGUGAGUGUUACAUGACACUUUCUGCUUCUCAUUGUUCUUGUUGGUGUUCCUACAAUUUUGGACCCCCUUAAUACACGGUUUCUGGGGUCAGUGGUACAUGAGCUGGUAGUCAUCAUCUCCCCCUACCAGAAUUAACUUUUACCCAGCUGGAGCUAUUUUAACACAAUUGCUGAGUUUGCUUUAUUACUUUCUUAUCUUGGGAGCUCUGCCAGAUGUCCCUGUGGCCUGUAAAUUCUGCAUUCUUUGUGUCCGGUAUCAGUGCACAUCCUUCUUUCCAAGAUUUGUAACUUUCCCCCCAGAUCUGAGAUCACUGAAGCAUGGACAGCAAAAGAACAGAUCCUCUGUUUUCCCCAUUGGCUGAGUAGGAAGAAAGAGGUUUAGGUGGCUGGCCACAACUUCCAGCGCGGAGCCCGGCCCUGGCGGAGCCCAGGGCGUCACUCGCUGCUCUUGCUGACUGCAGCGGCUGCCAGCGGCUCUCGCCUGACGGCGCCAUUUUUCCUCCCCGCCGCCCGCUCCCUCCUUCCCCUUCUGGCUCCUUCAGUACGGAGUGUC